UACGUAGGGGGCAAGCGUUGUCCGGAUUUACUGGGCGUAAAGAGCGUGUAGGCGGCCACGCAGGUCCGUUGUGAAAACUGGAGGCUCAACCUCCAGACGUCGACGGGAAACCGUAUGGCUAGAGUCCGGAAGAGGAGAGUGGAAUUCCUGGUGUAGCGGUGAAAUGCGCAGAUAUCUGGAGGAACACCGGUGGCGAAGGCGGCGUCCUGGACCAACAACUGGACACUGAUGAGCGAAAGCCAGGGGAGCAAACGGG
rnacentral:rRNA from 1 species